AUUGAACGCUGGCGGCAUGCCUUACACAUGCAAGUCGAACGGCAGCACGGGAGCAAUCCUGGUGGCGAGUGGCGAACGGGUGAGUAAAGUAUCGGAACGUGCCCAGUCGUGGGGGAUAACGUAGCGAAAGUUACGCUAAUACCGCAUACGAUCUAUGGAUGAAAGCGGGGGAUCGCAAGACCUCGCGCGAUUGGAGCGGCCGAUAUCAGAUUAGGUAGUUGGUGGGGUAAAGGCUCACCAAGCCGACGAUCUGUAGCUGGUCUGAGAGGACGACCAGCCACAAUGGGUGUGGGACACGGCCCAGACUCCUACGGGAGGCAGCAGUGGGGAAUUUUGGACAAUGGGCGAAAGCCUGAUCCAGCCAUGCCGCGUGCAGGAUAAAGGCCUUCGGGUUGUAAACUGCUUUUGUACGGAACGAAAAGGUUUGGGCUAAUAAGCUGAGCUCAUGACGGUACCGUAAGAAUAUGGACCGGCUAACUACGUGCCAGCCGCCGCCGUAA
rnacentral:rRNA from 1 species